rnacentral:rRNA from 1 species
GACGAACGCUGGCGGCGUGCCUAAUACAUGCAAGUCGAGCGGACCGAACAGGAGCUUGCUCUUGUUCGGUUAGCGGCGGACGGGUGAGUAACACGUGGGUAACCUGCCCGUAAGACCGGGAUAACUCCGGGAAACCGGAGCUAAUACCGGAUAACACCGAAGACCGCAUGGUCUUUGGUUGAAAGGCGGCUUCGGCUGCCACUUACGGAUGGGCCCGCGGCGCAUUUGCUAGUUGGUGAGGUAACGGCUCACCAAGGCGACGAUGCGUAGCCGGCCUGAGAGGGUGACCGGCCACACUGGGACUGAGACACGGCCCAGACUCCUACGGGAGGCAGCAGUAGGGAAUCUUCCGCAAUGGACGAAAGUCUGACGGAGCGACGCCGCGUGAGCGAAGAAGGUCUUCGGAUCGUAAAGCUCUGUUGUUAGGGAAGAAGAAGCGUCGUUCGAACAGGGCGGCGCGGUGACGGUACCUAACGAGAAAGCCCCGGCUAACUACGUG